rnacentral:rRNA from 1 species
GAUCCUGGCUCAGGACGAACGCUGGCGGCGUGCUUAACACAUGCAAGUCGAACGAUGACGGUGGUGCUUGCACCGCCUGAUUAGUGGCGAACGGGUGAGUAACACGUGAGUAACCUGCCCUCCACUUCGGGAGUAACCUCGGGAAAUCGUGGCUAAUACCGGAUAUGAGCACUCAUCGCAUGGUGGGUGUUGAAGAUUAUCGGUGGGGGAUGGACUCGCGGCCUAUCAGUUUGUUGGUG